GGUCUCAAAAGCUACAAAAGACCUCGACAUGCUUUAAAGACCAGAAGGAGAGAGAGUGUAGUGGCAAUGGAAAUCAUGUUGACUCACAGUGUUUGUGUAUCCGCUCCUACCUCUCCAUUAUUUCUCUGAAAGAAAAUCAUUAACAAACUCUCUCCUCUACUACUUCUCAGCUGUUUUACAUUUGUUAUCCUGAUGGACUUCUGGAGCUAUGCUGCAGAAGGAAAAGGCCUUCUUUUCUCCGAUGAAAUAGAUUUAUCUGUUGAUGCAUUUGCAAGAAGUAGAAAAACAUUGAUAGGAUGGGAUACAGAAUCGGUUGAGAGUACUGAGUUUAUAGAUUUUGGUUUCUCUGAAAUUCCAAGAAAGCCUUUUCAUGGCAGCAAAACAGGUGUGGGUGUGCUUGGUGGUACUGAUGUUGGUAUUGAUUCGAGUAAACUAGUCGCAAGUUCUCCUAAUUGCAUGAUUGCAUCCAAUUCGUCAAUGGAAUCCGGGUCCAAUCAUUCGAAUUCUCUUGUGGAAUCUAAUAGUCAGGAUUCAUCACUGAUUGAUUUGAAGCUAGGGAGAUUGGCUGAUUUCAAAGAUGCACAAAGUAGCAAGUUUUCAAAAGAGAGGUUGUUAUCUUCUGUAAGUCCAACUGCCCAGGCAAAGCGUGCUCGAGCGACAUGUUCACGCCCUCAGACUACCUAUUGCCAGGUCUAUGGUUGUAAUAAGGAUCUUAGUUCUUCAAAGGAUUACCACAAGAGGCAUAAAGUUUGCGAGGUUCACUCAAAAACGCCUCAAGUUAUUGUUGAUGGCAAUGAACAGAGGUUUUGCCAGCAGUGCAGCAGGUUUCACUUGCUGGUUGAUUUUGAUGAUGGUAAGCGAAGUUGCCGGAAACGCUUGGCAGGCCACAAUGAACGUAGAAGGAAGCCUCAAUUGGGUACCCUCUCUGUCAAACCACAUAAGUUACUGCAUCCAUAUCAAGGCACCAAAUUUCUGGGGACUUCCUUGCCAAAGAAAACGUCUCUUCUUUUCCCAAACAUGCUUCCAGGGAGUGCUUUUUGUCCAGGAAAUUAUGAAGAAGAAAAUUGGUGCAGGCGCAUUAAAUUGGAAGAGAAUUCAAUUUACAGCUCUCCAUCUGCAAUACCCAUGGGAAAUGGGCAGUUGCCGCCGAAGUCAUUCCUCCAUUUGCAUGGCAAUGGGUUACAAAAGACUUGUGGAAGUUCUUCACCGGCAAUUGAUGACUGCAAUUUUUGUAACACAACAACUUUUCAUGAGUUAGCUGGGGCGUCGCACUCUAGCUGUGCUCUCUCUCUUCUGUCAGCUGAAUCACAGGACUUGAGCCAUUCUGCAGGAAAUAUAACGGCUAGGCCCUUGGUCAGUCAAGUGAGUCAUGCUUGUCAGAGCUUGGGUAUUGUUAACAAAUCUUUAGGGGUAGGCUCCUUGGAAAAGUACUUUCCAAAUGGACUUUAUCCGGCUGGAAUGAAUUUCAUUGAAGUUAAUGAUAUGGGGCCAUUUGUGGUUCCUGGUUCUGGUCACGCAGCGGACUUCCAAGUUGAAACAGAUGGAUUUCUACAACAGUCAGAUAUCUUGAAUGCCAAGUAUUGCGUUUCUCCUGAAAAUGGAUCAACUGUGGAUUUGCUUCAACUCUCAUCACAUCUUCAGAGGGUGGAGCAACAGAGGAACUCCAUGCAAGUGAAGCAUGAAAAUGAGGAUUUCUGCAAUUUCGGCUCUUCUUAUGGGGUGUGAGAGGACCAAGGUUCAAAGGAGAGAAUUGAUGGCAAGCUGCUUGCCUGCAUCAGAUAUAACUUACUAACUUUAUCGGUGCAGUAGAAAAUAGGCCCUUAAGAGACUUCAGCUUGCGUUUGCCGUACAUUCCUUUACUUGAAAGAAUUUUCGGCUUUUGUUCAUUGACACAUCGCAGUUUCGACGGACAAAUUUGAAGGGACAGAAAUUAGGGCUGUUAAUAUUUUGAUUAAAAGGGAUUAAACACUUGAUGCACUAGGUGACCUUUGAUUUAUAUUUUGAUUAAAUGCUCUUCUCCCUUGGUGUUGCUGAUGGAAAAUUAUGAUAACUCCUGCAAUUUUUUGUAUUAAAAAACAAACCCAUCCCUAAGUUACGGGAGCUUAGACCCAUCUGACUUGGGAGCGGAAUGCUUUUCCAUCUUUGAUAUUGUUGCUUUCUUUCCUCCACUUCCUAUUGAAGUAAAACGUGGGAGUGGCCACCUCAUCCACUAAUCAAAGGGAGCUCCUCCCUUUUCUUCUUGGUGGUCUGGAUUGUGGACGGUGAGUUGUAAAAGGAACGCAAAUUCAAAAGUUGAAAGGAUUUAGCCAUCAACUCCCCACUGGAAUCUUGUAUUUUUAUAAUGCAAAGCUCUGCAACUUGGCCUCAAAAGCGAGAUAACCUUGAGACUCAGCACGUCUUCGUUGUAAAUAAACAAGUAUUAUGUCUGCAGCCUCGUCUUGUUGGAUGUGCCCUGCC